rnacentral:rRNA from 1 species
AUUGAACGCUGGCGGCAGGCCUAACACAUGCAAGUCGAGCGGCAGCGGGGGAAAGCUUGCUUUCCCGCCGGCGAGCGGCGGACGGGUGAGUAAUGUCUGGGAAACUGCCUGAUGGAGGGGGAUAACUACUGGAAACGGUAGCUAAUACCGCAUAACGUCUUCGUACCACAGUGGGGGACCUUCGGGCCUCAUGCCAUCAGAUGUGCCCAGAUGGGAUUAGCUGGUUGGUGGGGUAACGGCUCACAAAGGCGACGAUCCCUAGCUGGUCUGAGAGGAUGACCAGCCACACUGGAACUGAGACACGGUCCAGAAUCCUACGGGAGGCAGAAGUGGGGAAUAUUGCACAAUGGGCGCAAGCCUGAUGCAGCCAUGCCGCGUGUAUGAAGAAGGCCUUCGGGUUGUAAAGUACUUUCAGCGGGGAGGAAGGUGUUGUGGUUAAUAACCGCAGCAAUUGACGUUACCCGCAGAAGAAGCACCGGCUAACUCCGUGCCAGCAGCCGCCGUAA